rnacentral:lncRNA from 1 species
GUCGUAGAGACAUGGGACUAUCACCAUUCAACUCAGGACCACUUGACCUUUCAAAUAUCACAAGGUCAAGGUCAUAGUAUAAUGUGAAGGUCAAGGUGAAAUUUCAUCAUGACCUGACAUUGACCUCAAAUUGAAGGUCUUGAAUUACUGAUCAUCUUUGCAGUUUAUAGUAGGUUGAUAUCUGUUACCUUUAAAAAGAUAUACACAAAAUACUAUACUUUUAAGAAUCAUCCCGUUGUAACUUUUGAACAGACAGUCGGACAUUUUUGAGCUCAGUGUAUAAAAUGUAGAGCUCGUCGAGAGGAACAUUUUAUACGCUGUAAGUAUGCAGCAAACUCUUAUCGUUUUCUUAAUAUGCAAGCUUGAAAUUGCAGCGUAAUUUUUUUUUGCACUUGGUGACCUUUGACCUUGGGUGCAAAUUAAAGGUCACAUGAACUUAAGAUUAUUGGUGUAGGUCCCAAGUCUUUACGACUUCCGGUUCUCGAGAUACAAUUUUUCAAAAAUUGUGUAUAUUUUUCAAGGGAAAUAACUCCUUAUAAGGGUUAACAACAAAAUGAUUGUAUAUGUUCAUUAUCAUUGCCAUCUGGUCUUGUACAUGUUGCCGUUUUCAAAUCGAUUCUAUCUUGAAUACUUUUUGAGAAAAAUGUAAAAAAGAAAUUGCUUCAAGGGGACAUAACUCUCAUAGGGAAUGAUGAAAUCCUUAGCAGCCUCAUAUGGUAACACAUCAUGAUGAGAUCUAACUUUUGUCCAAAUAAGGUCAUGAUAUCUUUAAAAACAACGAGGGGGGGGCCAUGUCGAAAAAAAACCAAUAAAAGGGAGAUAACUUCUAAAGGGGAUGAUGAAAUCCUACACAGCCUCAUCUGGUAAUACUUCAUGAUGAGGUCUACCGAUGGUCCAUAUUUGGUCUUGAUAACUCCAAUAGAAACGAGGGGAGGCCAUGUCAAACAAAUGCUGGAUGAAAAAAAAAAAACAGGAGGAGAAAAACAAUAAGGUCUUUCCUCGCGGAGAGGAAAGACCUUAACAAUGAA